GCUCAUACAUACUUAUUGUCAAAUUUAAUUUCGCAACAUGGCGAUCGUGUAAUGUUUGCGUUUUGCCUUUUGUGUUUGUAAAGCGUUGCCACAGUUACUAGUCCUGUGAAGUAUAUAAUGUGUAAAUAAGGUGAAGUCAACCUUGUUUUAGCGAUGACUACCUUAAUAGAUAAAAUUGAACAAUUAAUCAAAAGGGAAAAGACAACUCCCGAUAGGAAAAAAGAUGAUUCCAAAAAGUCGUCAAGUGAGAUUCUUUCUGAACUUUUUAGUGCUUUUAACGCGGAUCCACCUAAAAUAGAGGAAGUUCCUUCGAAGAAAUCUAAAAAAAGCAAGAAGAAGCAUAAAAAAGAGAAAAAGAAACGCAGUCGAAGCGCUAGCAGUGUCAGUUCUGACGACAGUGAGUACUCCCACAAACGGAAGAAAAGAAAAAAGAGUAAGUCUCAAAAGCGUGCACGAGAGAGCCGGUCACCUUCCUAUCCUUACCCGCUCACACCAGUUAGAGUCAAACCUGAAAACGACAUUGUAAAGCAUGAAAAAGUUAAACAUGAAAAGGAAAUAAAAAAAGAGGAUGUUAAAACCAAAGAGGUUAAGGUCGAAAAGGACGUUAAAGAUACAGUAUCUAUAAAAUUAGAGGAAGGUGAGUUAUCCCUAUCUCCUCCACAUCCCAUUCCCUUGCCUCCAGAAUGUAAUAAGACAAUAGACUUGAGACAAAAAUUAGAUAGUAAGAAAGCUGAACUGAAUAAUGGGGACAGUGAUAAAUCUAAGGGUAAAAUUCAAAUAAAGAAUCUAAAAUUCAGUACUGUGUAUGAAGAGACUGUUAAGAAGGCUGAAGAAGAGGCUAGAAAGAGAGCAGAAAAGUAUGAGGAAGGGGAAUAUACAGAUUCAUCAAGUAGUACUGAGAAAGAAGUUGUUUGCAACUCUCAAUUCCCUAAAACCUCAGAUCCUGGGGGUAUACUCAAGAAGCAAGCAGAAGAAGAAUUGAAACAUGACAUCUGUGAAGAAGCAAAACUUGCUGCGAAGAAGAGUAAAAAGACUGAAAGUUCAUCGAAAACAUCUCGGAAAGAAAAAAGCAAAUCUCCUAAGAGGUCUGGAAGUAAAUCCAGGCGUUCAUCGUCAACAUCAAGAAAGCACCAUCAUAGAUCCAGCUCCAAGACUCGACACAGCAGUCGAUCACGUCACAGAUCUACUUCAAGGUCUCGUAGGAGGUCAAGGUCGCGUUCCAGACGAAGGUCGAGGUCAAGGUCACGGCAUAGGACUAGGCGACUCUCGCCUAGACAUAGUGGAAGGAGGAGAUCUAGGUCUCCAACGGGAGUGAAACUAGCGGAUAGUGAAAAGAAGCGAUUACUAGAAGUGGCUAGAAGGAAUGCCAUCAAUAUGCUCAAGAAUGGCGCGGUGCCUGCCGGGGCAGCCGCGUUGCCACCGCAUACGAGGAACCAAGUGAUGGCUGCUAUACAGUCUGGAGGUAAAUCAGUCGACGAGUUGACGGACUUCUGCAAGCAUUUGUCAAAGAAGGAGGCACUUGGUGAACUGUCGUCAGUCUCAUCCAACGACGAUGAUAUGAGCGAGAACGAAGACACGCUCGCUUUCCAUCAUCCCUUCCUAGUUAAAGAGAAGGCUCCUAUUGUUAUGAAUAUAAGGGGAGGCGCUCCACUACCCAUAAAGACGAAUCCUCUACCGAUAGCCAAUAAGGAGGAAUUAAGACUUCAGUUCCCAGUGUCUUCAGGGUCACAACAUAGAGAAAAGGCAUCAGAAUGGGUGCCCGUUUCGCCGCCUAAGAAGGACAUGCAAGUAGCGAAACUGAAUUCAAGCAGCAGUAGUUCAUCCAAAUCAAAAUCAAGUACUACAGCUGCCUCAAACACAUGCACUGAAAUUGCCAAAAUAUCUGAACGGUCUUUGAGUCCACCACCUUAUAUGAAAAGCUUCACGUCGGGAAGUCAGCUGAACUCUGUGCCGUCAAUACCUGCGUUACCGGCGCCCGGCCCGCAGGCCUACCCGCCCGGGGUUGAUGCUCAGAAGAUGGUGCGGAUUCAAGACGUAGCGUCGCUGGUAUCACAGAAGCUGUCUAUUAUUCGCAAGGAGCAGGAGGAGAGUGAACUCUUUACUACACAUGGUUUUGGUUGGUCAGCGGGUGAAUCGUCACUGGGCCAGUUCACCGGCUCCACCGGAGCACAGAUACUGACGCCGAGGGAACUCGCUAGCGGUACACAAGCUUGGGCCAAAAAGCUGAUUGCCUCGCCGGUCAGGAUCCACGGUCACUGCGCGGUCGACCGUUUGGUCAGAACUUAUAAUACAUGUUGUAUUAUACUUUCUGACCUUUUUCAAUAUUAUUGUGAUGGUUGCAACAACUUAGUUUUUUACUAUCAGUAUUUUCGUAAACUAUGCUAUAUUUUUGUAUAUCUAUGUAUUCUACUAAACUAAAGCUUUGAAAAUGCUUCACUUUUUGAUGCACGGGCAAGUGUUACUGAAUCUUACUGUUGACUACCGGGAAGUGGUAAUUUUUUCUCACUAUAUCAAUGUUGUAUUGCAUAUAAAAUACUUGUAGUUUGUUCAGACAUAUUUGUGUAUUAUACAUAUAUGCACUAUUUUGCAAACUAUUAUAUUUUAAAUGUUUAUCUUUGAACUCACUCUAGGACAGCAAUUUAUUGAAAGAACGAUUGCAUCAAUUGCUUUAUCUCGUACUAUAUUGUUGUUAACACUAUUUCAUAAUAUUAAUAUUUAACCAUACUAUAUAAUGUACUGAUUAUUUGUUGCUGCAACCAUCACUGUCUCCGUACAUUUCUGGUUCGUGUAACGGUUGAACUUUGCAGUUCGCUCGUUACACCGCACUAUUCUUCUAACGUGAUGGUAAUUCUCAUGCCAAUCCCCUUUGGCAUGUCAAUCAUCAUUACCAAAGAUUGCAUACAGAUAUUCAGUUUUCCCCUUGGUUAUGACUGACUUGUUUGUUUUAGAUUUUCUUUCUUUUGUAUUUAAUUUCGUAAGAGAAAUAUUUUGUAGUUACCUAUUCCUGAUACUGGAUACACACACCACAUCAGUGGUUUGGUGUAUUUGUGUUAUUUAUUUCAGUUUUUAAAGUAAUAUCUAAAUCGUUCUUUUGGCCCUUUAGACUCUUGAUUAAAUAUUUUUUUGAGUCAGAUAAAUAAAAGGAAAUAGAGACUCUCUUCCCAGACAGGAAGAUUCCUUUUAGAUUCAGUUUUAAAUAUUUUUAGUCAGUCUCCAAAUUGUUGAAGCCAACCGAUUCUUUGAGCUAUCUCCAAAUGUCUAAGAUUAAAGUAUGGCCAUUUCCAACAUUUGUGCAAAGCUAUGUGCGAAGUUUUGCACAACCAUCCACCUUUAUAAAUGAUGGCCAAGACAAGUCUGUAAAAAGGCGUCUUUUGUUAGGAAAAAAUGCACUAUCAUAAAAUUCGUGUAAUUUUUUGGAUGACUCAAAGAAAAGUAUGGCUGAAAUGGGGAAUUCAUGAAUAUUUGUUGCAGCUUUUAAGUGAUAAGGAGAUGCGUGCACGUCGAUGUCUACGAUGAUAGGUGCUAACCUUACAAUGUAAUCAAAGAGGACCAACUCGUUCGAGCCGCGCCCGUCGAAGGGGGCAUGGGUAUGCACUUACUCCAGAAAAUGGGCUGGACUCCAGGCCAGGGGUUGGGUAAGGAAGGCACUGGAACUCUCCAGCCUUUACUCCUAGAGGUCAAGUUGGACACUAGAGGUCUACAGGCCAAAGAAGAGGUCAGUAGCUGUAGACGCAGUAGAGGUAUGAAACCACAACGCACAGGACGCCUCCGAGGCCCCGCGCCUCUCGUCGCGGGUGGCAAACACCCAGUGUCCCUACUGGGCGAAUAUUGUUCCAAACAAAAACUAGGACCGCCUGAAUAUAACCUCUGCUUCGAAUGCGGUCCAGAUCAUAAGAAGAACUUCCUGUUCAAGGUAAAAGUUGCGGGAACAGAAUACCAGCCAGCAGUCGCAAGCGCCAACAAGAAGCAAGCGAAAGCCGACGCAGCGCAACUAGCACUGCAGAAACUAGGCAUAGUGACGUAAUGAUUAGCAUAUAUAAACUUGUAUACGACUGUUUAUACUUGUUAUUGAUUAGUACAUACCUUGUAUUUUAUUGGAAUAAAACUUUUUAGGUUGGA